AUUUUUUGUAAAUGAUAUAAAUGUCAGAUGAUAUAAAACAGGACAAUUUUUUCCCUAAGUAAAAUUUAGGAGAUGUUUGUUUAUAAAAUAGUGGAUCAGUGUGUAUGAUCUUGUUGUAUUUAUCGAUAGGACGAGAAAUGUACCAGUUUAAGCAAAGCAAAUUGAAACUGAAUUUUUGUUUGAAAAAUCAAUCAGAAUUGGAGAAAUAACAUUCUUUUAAAAUUUUGUUGAACUGUAUUUUCAUCACUUGAAUUAGUAUUAACAUUAUGUAUAAUCAAUUCAAAGUUGUCAGGUUAAAAACGACGCUCAAAGAUAUAUAUGGCUCCGAAAGACCAGGAUAAUUUCAAAUUCUUAAAUAUUUCCUGAUUUGGCACUUGAAAGAAAUGUUCUUAUAUAUGUUCAAUUGAGUAUGGAACCGAUGAUCUAGUCGUAAUGUUUCGAUGUUUAAAAAUAUCAUUUCUGAGUUUAAUGAAGUAUACUGUCAGUGCAUUGACCAUUGUGGAAAUGUUAAGACACUUUGAGGAAAUUAAUUUACUAAUUCAAGCAAUAUAAUUUGUUGACAACUGAUCGCGCAUUACAACGAAUGGACUUCUCUUAGCAUCUAAACAUCGCGAUGAUUUUCAUACUCAAGUGAACAUUUUGGUCACUUUACCAAAAACAGUUGGUUGUAUUAAAAAAAAAGUAAAAGCAUGUUUGAUUGACUUUGUCUUUGAGCCAUAUAUUUUCCUUGUAAAACAACCUGGUGUGACGCUUUGGAUUUGUCCGUCAAAUUCGAAAAAAUUAUCAUUAGAGUUGUUUUACAAUAUUUAUUUUGAAGUAUAAACAUUUAUCUUGAAAAGACCAGGUUCUCUUGUUUCCUCAAGAAUUAACUUUUUAAUGUUAAUUCGCGGGCAAACAAGUUUUUAAUGUUGUGCUUAUUCACUUGUGCUUAUUCACUUGUGUUGAACACAAUGUUAAUUGUUCUCUUUGUGCCAUGUUCUGUUUUCUUCUAUUGUUAUUUGAAUAAGUGUGCAGUGGUUGUUCUCUCUUUAUUGUUAUUCAAUUUGUAAUUACAAUUCUUUUCAAUAAAUUGUUCAUUAAUUAUACAAGAGACUCCUUUUUAAUUAAAAAUUCAAUUCCCAUGGGAAUUGAAAAAAAAAAUAAAAAAAAUUCCCCCACCCCGGCCGGCUCCCCAAGUGCCACCUCUACUUCAAGCAGAAGUACUUCUACUAUAUAGUAAAAGUACUUCUACUUAAAGUAGAGGUAGCACUCGGAGAGCCAGCCGGGGUAGCGAGGCGAAGAGAAGACCAACCUUGCAAAUGCAAAAUAAUGCAAAUUGCUAAGUCGAUCUUUUCUUGAGAGCAGCCACGCACAUACCUGGCAAAUAAUGUAAAACAACAAGCAAUUAGUAACAAAUACUCGACAUGCAAAUUUUGAAUCCCAUGGCCGAAAUGACAAGUGCCCCCCACUGAUUCCUACCAACUGCCUACCUGCCUCAAUCCUAAGCUGUCUGCCUCAGUCCUAAGCUGUCUGCCUUGGUCCUAAGCUACCUGCAUUCCAUUCGUAACUUCCGCUUUCCUCACCAUCACACAGACACUCGCAACUGCCCAACCUGCCACCAGCCUGAACUGCCCACCCUUAAAACUGAAGGAAUUAAAAUUUUGGCAAAGUAUACAUAAUUAAUUUAAUUUAAUCGGAUAUUUUAGGGCAAACGUAAACAGAUAAAUUAAAAGGUUGACAAAUCAGACGAAAGACCGCGUA